rnacentral:misc_RNA from 1 species
AAGUCGUAACAAGGUCUCCGUAGGGGAACCUGCGGAGGGAUCAUUUCCAUUAAAAUUGAAAAAAAGGGGUAAUAGCCUUUUUUUUAAAACAAAAAGUUGGUUGUGUUCUUAAAAAACAAAAAAUAAAUUAAAUAAGAAUUAUUGGGGAUUCCUUUUUCUUGAAGGAACCCCCAAUUUGAUUAUUUCAUUUUAUUUUUUUUUAACCAAAACUAGAAAGAAAAUAUCCUUAACCAAAUCUUGAAAGAUAUCCUAAAAAAAAGUUGAACAACUAUCAACGGCGGAUCUCUUGGUUCGU